CUGUCACGGACAAACUUCUAAACAAGAUGUUUGAUGUAAUGCUUAUGUAUGUCCGUGUCUUUUGGCAUGUUCAUGCCUUGUACAGAAUGUAGAGGGGUGGCCGAAGGCUUAAUAGUCCCACUUUAGUUGGGUUGGUGGCCUCUUUAGGCUUGUAAAUAAAGGUUGUGUCAUGUGGACACGUGCGAGAGCUUUUCGGUCUUUAAUAGACCAUUUUACCCUUUGUUGUGCCACUGUUCAGAGCUUGUAAAGUCUGUUUGUAAUUUGCAUUGUCUAUAAAGUGUUUUUCGGAGAUGUUUGCUUGUGGAUCCCGAUUGAGGCGUCC
rnacentral:lncRNA from 1 species